rnacentral:rRNA from 1 species
CCUACGGGUGGCUGCAGUGAGGAAUAUUGGUCAAUGGGCGCAAGCCUGAACCAGCCAAGCCGCGUGAGGGAAGACUGCCCUGUGGGUGGUAAACCUCUUUUAUAAGGGAAGAAAAAUGACUACGCGUAGUCAGAUGCCCGUACCUUAUGAAUAAGCAUCGGCUAACUCCGUGCCAGCAGCCGCGGUAAUACGGAGGAUGCGAGCGUUAUCCGGAUUUAUUGGGUUUAAAGGGUGCGUAGGCGGUAUUUUAAGUUAGUGGUAAAACGGCGGGGCUUCACCCUGGUUGGCCAUUAAAACUGAAGGACUAGAGUACAGACGAGGUAGGCGGAAUAAGUUAAGUAGCGGUGAAAUGCUUAGAUAUCACGUAGAACCCCGAUAGCGAAGGCAGCUUACCAGACUGUUACUGACGCUGAGGCACGAGAGCGUGGGUAGCGAACAGGAUUAGAUACCCCUGUAGUC